GGAGCAAAAAAUUGGCUCCUUAUAUACUCUGUGAUGGGAUCGACCAUAAAUCUGGGGCGAAAAGCGGUCGAAAAAUGGUCGUAAGGUGGUCAUGUACCAACUAUCGGCCAAUGACCAAAAAUACAUGGGCAAAAAGUGGUCGGUGACGAAAUAACUGGUCAAUGACGUCAUUAUGACUUAGCUACAUUCGAACGUCAACUUAACAACUGACUCAGUAAAACAGACAAAUGGCAGCCAUCUUGGAUUUAAAAUAAGAAUUAAACAUAAAGCGCAGUUAAAUUAUGACAUUUACAAGAGCGGUGUAUUAUACCAUGAAAUAGUGUGGGCGUUUUCUGUUCGUUGCCGACAUCCUUGACUUGGAACAAUUCAACCGUUACGAACACAGGAAGUAAGAUGGCUGACGGCUGACAAAAAUGUGAUUUCACUCAGAGGAGUUUUACGAUUUCUUAAUGGAUAAUGGCAUUUUAAGCAAAAAGGAACAAACAUAUAAGGAGACUAAGUAGAAAUUAAUUACAUGCAAUGGAUAUUACCAUUCACAAACGUGAGUAAGAAGUUGAAUAUAUGCUUUAAGGAUCAGUGUAAUGAAAUUUCGCGAGUCGUAAUGUUACUUGCAAUGUAAAGUCGGAACACAAUCAAGCCCAGGAUAAAAUACAUAUUAAGUGUAAAAUUGUGCUUAUAAAAUAAUAAAAUUUGAUAAGCACAGUUUAUACAAAACAACGUUGGACAUGACCACUCGCGUUGGGUGCCUGUUUAAGAUGACAAAACAACAACAUCAAAAGAAAAAUACAAGGAAGAGGCGAUGGCAUAUAAAAAGGCGGAAACAUAACGCCACGCGGCGCUCUUGACGGGUCAUAUCAGAAGCCGGAAGCUUCAUCUAACAUCGCAACACAAGGGGCUGAAUCUCAAUUACCAUUGAGACGCACAGGACUAUGUUUCGCAUGUGGCGAACAGGGUCAUCGGAAAGGAGCAGCUGGAUGUUCAGCAAACAGCUCGACCAAUAAGAAAUGUUUUGAGAGGUACUCUGAAGGAGCGAUUAGAGGGCUCGGGCUUGCAUGGGCUUCGAAGAGAUUAGAUGGCGGACAGAAUGGCUAAGUAAAUACUUAGAACAAUCAAGACCAGACAAUACGGUGAAGAAAAGAAUUCUUCAUGUGCACAUUUCAAAUACUGUGAAGAAAAUGUAGUCGCCAUGUCAGCCGUACAUAUAUCAGUAGUAAUGUACAUGGCUCAAUUGAUGGAUCGAGGAAAUCUAAUAACAUUUUUUACAUCUGUGUUUUACAGUAUUAAAUGGAUCCAUUCUUUUAAUAGUGUACAUGAUCCAAAGAAAGAUUUAACAAACUAUUAUAAGAAGCUUCAAAGCGUGUGUGUUUCAAACCAUCUCACAAGAAAGAUGUAUCAUGUACAUGUGCAUUCAUUAGAGAUGAUACAAACAUUGUGUUUGAUAUAAGGAGAUUCCACUGUUUUCAUUGAUUAAUCAUUUUUGGGUUAUGCAUGUACAUGUAUCAUGCAUAUUAACAAAUUAACGUUUUAUUAACAAAUAUGUAAUUAGCAAAUUGGUCAGAUGAAUCAAAUGAUUUUUUGUUCAAACCAGUUAUUGGUUAUAUAUAUAUGUAAUUAUUUAGACUAGCUAACGCCGAGGGCGUGUUUUAGAGAUGUUUGAAUCGACAUGGUCGAUGGAAGUCUGAUAGGGCUAAAGAUGGGUACAUUGAUGAUUCUCUAGACAAAAAGCUUUUUAUCACUAGACAAUUGAAGUUAUAAUUGAUUUGCGGUUCGAAUUUAAAACCUUACUAACCUUUGUUUUUGUUCUAUCGCAAGCCUUGCCCAAUGCAAAACGUGUUGUGUUUUGUGCUUAGUUGUGUGAAGACUUUUCUGUUCUGUGCGUUACGGAGUAUAGCACAGAACGUAUGUCUAAACAUAACGCACCGCACAAAACAGGUAUAUGUGCGGUUCGUUCAUGCGUGUGGUUGUCACGUGAGUGAUGGUCACUCAGGUGGACAUAGGCGGGAAUUUGCACGGGGUGUUCAUUGUUUGGUCAGUUCUACGCUAGACUUCGAUCAAUAAACUUUUACCUUUUUUUUAAUUCGAACCGCAUUAGUAGUAAAUUGGCUAAAAUGACAUGUUAUGUUUGUGUUACAUAAUGUUUAGUUACAUGUUAAUAUUGGUUGUUUUCAGGUACAGUUUUCCAGAGUUAUUUUACAUUGGGCUUCUGAUGAAUUUUUAUCUCUGGUUUUUACCCUGGCCUUGAAAACACCAAUUAAGGACACAAUACUAGAAGUGAUGUAUACACAUUAUAGUUAUAAUUUGUUAUAUAAUUUAUAGAUCGAAAAUUGUCCUGUCAAGGUUGUACUACAAUUGUACUUGAUUGCUAUAUGAUACGAAUAUGUAAUAUUCGUGUAUGUGUGUUGUCAAUAAACUGAUCGCAAGCCUUGCCCAAUGUAUCGCAAGCCUUGCCCAAUGCAAAA